ACAAAAUUAAAAAACGAAAUUAAAGAAGAAAAAGGAAAAGAAAAGAAGAAAGAAGACACAGGUGAGUAUCCCAUGCUCCCCUUUCUCCUGUACUUUCCUUUGCUGGGUUGGUUGUGGCUGCUUUUUGCUGUGCUGCUCUGCCCUCUCGUGGUUUUGUUUUUGUUUGCCCUGUGCUUUUCUUUGCAGGUCAACAGAUUUUGAAUUGGCUGAAGAAUUUUAGCCGACAGACCCAGAAUGGCCAAGACUUAUGGCCAAGAUCAAAGAAGAAGACAGAAGAUUUUCCCCUUUUGUUCUUUCUUUUGUUUAUUUACACUUUUGAAUUUGAAA
rnacentral:ribozyme from 12 species